GGUCAAGCGAACAAGUGCAUGUGGUGGAUGCCUUGGCGAUCACAGGCGAUGAAGGACGCGGUAGCCUGCGAAAAGCUACGGGGAGCUGGCAAACGAGCUUUGAUCCGUAGAUGUCCGAAUGGGGAAACCCACUCCUUAUGGAGUAUCCAUGGCUGAAUACAUAGGCCAUGCGAAGCGAACGCGGUGAACUGAAACAUCUAAGUAACCGCAGGAAAAGAAAUC
rnacentral:rRNA from 2 species